rnacentral:rRNA from 1 species
GUGGGGAAUUUUGGACAAUGGGCGAAAGCCUGAUCCAGCCAUGCCGCGUGUGUGAAGAAGGUCUUCGGAUUGUAAAGCACUUUAAGUUGGGAGGAAGGGCAGUAAGUUAAUACCUUGCUGUUUUGACGUUACCGACAGAAUAAGCACCGGCUAACUUCGUGCCAGCAGCCGCGGUAAUACGAAGGGUGCAAGCGUUAAUCGGAAUUACUGGGCGUAAAGCGCGCGUAGGUGGUUUUGUAAGUUGGAGGUGAAAUCCCCGGGCUCAACCUGGGAACUGCCUCCAAAACUACUGAGCUAGAGUACGGUAGAGGGUAGUGGAAUUUCCUGUGUAGCGGUGAAAUGCGUAGAUAUAGGAAGGAACACCAGUGGCGAAGGCGACUACCUGGACUGAUACUGACACUGAGGUGCGAAAGCGUGGGGAGCAAACAGGAUUAGAAACCCCGGUAGUCC